rnacentral:rRNA from 1 species
UACGUAGGGGGCAAGCGUUGUCCGGAAUCAUUGGGCGUAAAGAGCGUGUAGGCGGCUCGGUAAGUCCGCUGUGAAAGUCCAGGGCUCAACCCUGGAAUGCCGGUGGAAACUGUCGAGCUCGAGUCCGGAAGAGGCGAGUGGAAUUCCUGGUGUAGCGGUGAAAUGCGCAGAUAUCUGGAGGAACACCGGUGGCGAAGGCGGCAGUCCUGGACCGACACUGACGCUGACGGCGACGAAAGCUAGGGGAGCAAACGGGGAUUAAGAUACCC